CCUAAUAUAUCAAACUAAAAUGGAAGCUUGAUUAGCUUCUGAUCCUGAAACAAACAAAAUGAGCUAAUUAUGUUACAAAUAUAAAACAAGAUGUUCUAAUUUAAAGCCCUAAUAUAUCAAACUAAAAUGGAAGCUUGAAUAGCUUCUGAUUUCUUUGAUUUUGUGUUCCAAACCUUCGAUUUGCUCUUCAACGAAGCUCGAUUUCUUAUAUCAAGUAUGUUUUUUAACUUCGCGUUUCGAAUCUGUGAAUCUCUACAGUGGGUACCGGAAUCUCGGUUGUGUGUAUAGCGUG
rnacentral:lncRNA from 1 species